GUCCACGCCCUAAACGAUGAUGACUAGUUGUUGGAGGAGUUAAAUCCUUUAGUAACGCAGCUAACGCGCGAAGUCAUCCGCCUGGGGAGUACGGUCGCAAGAUUAAAACUAAAAGGAAUUGACGGGGGCCCGCACAAGCGGUGGAUGAUGUGGUUUAAUUCGAUGCAACGCGAAAACCUUACCUACCCUUGACAUGCUAGGAACGCUGCAGAGAUGCAGCGGUGCCCGAAAGGGAACCUAGACACAGGUGCUGCAUGGCUGUCGU
rnacentral:rRNA from 1 species